UAGACUGAUGAAUUACAUACAGUGUGCUGAAUUAUCACUUUUGCUUCUUCAUUAUUAUUUAGUGUGUAAUGUAUAUGUCAUUUGACAAGCUAUUAAUGUAGCGUCAGUAUAUAAAUAUACAAAUGUAUAUGUAUGCAAUUUGAGUUGAAAUAUAAACCAACAGUAAUGAACUGGUGUCAUUCCUGUUCUGGACGUCAACCGAUUUAGAUAUUAUUUCAAGGUGUUAUCCCGAAAGUUUCCCUCUGCAGUACUUAUCAAGUGGCGACGAGGUAAAAAGUUAUUGAAACGUGCUUAUUGACGAACGCUGAGCAACUUUGGUUAGUGGUGAUUUUGGUGCGGUGGCCCGGAGGAUAAUCUGCAUAACUACGGCGUAUAUACGGGGUCAUCGAACAACAAAAAAGAACGGAUCGAACUGAUUUCGGGUGCAGUGGUUUAGGACCUAUUAUCUCGCCUAAUAUUGAAGUUGAUCUGCCGCUAAUUUGUUGAAGUUUCGUUCGGCGGGGUCGGUGGCCAUUGAAACGCGAAAGAACAGUGUACGUUAACGCCGAAGUUGACGCUGAUUGGCAUCCAUACACUCUGCUCAGUGGCGAGAGCUUUGGUCAUCGGCGAUAAGGACUCAGGCGACAGGUGAAAAUCGGGUGAAUAGACGAAACUGUGGUUGGACAAAUCUCCGCCGCAUCCUAUUCGCUAGCUAACUGGCUAGUGCGAGUUGAAGUUGGCAGAUAUCUGGUGGAAAUUGGAAGCGUGCGAACAACAGCUCAUCGCACACAAAUUCGACCGUUUAUUGAACCGACCGUGCCGGAUCGACCUAACUUGAUGCUCCCUAUGACGAAUACUCGUAGUAUGACUAGAGAAAUCGGCGAGGCAGCUGAGAUGCCUACACCGGACAUUAGUUGUGAAGAUCCUGGAGCGGAUGCUGGGAAGCCAACUCGCUCGAGGCGGAAGAGAAGGAUGGAGAGCACAACGCCUAUUGAAUUAAGGCGUUCGAAACGAUCUAGGAUGAGCAAGACCGAUCCGGAUUUCGUGUAUUUUAAUUAGAGUUUGAAGUGUGAAUAAUUGUCCGUUCGGAUUGAAAGCGACAGUUAGAGAAGAACUUGCGUAAGGGUAAAGGAGUUGUUGUGUCUCGAUAUGAGAUACGUUCUGAAAUAGACUGAUGAAUUACAUACAGUGUGCUGAAUUAUCACUUUUGCUUCUUCAUUAUUAUUUAGUGUGUAAUGUAUAUGUCAUUUGACAAGCUAUUAAUGUAGCGUCAGUAUAUAAAUAUACAAAUGUAUAUGUAUGCAAUUUGAGUUGAAAUAUAAACCAACAGUAAUGAACUGGUGUCAUUCCUGUUCUGGACGUCAACCGAUUUAGAUAUUAUUUCAAGGUGUU